AUUGAACGCUGGCGGCAUGCUUUGCACAUGCAAGUCGAACGGUAACAGGUUAAGCUGACGAGUGGCGAACGGGUGAGUAAUGCAUCGGAACGUGCCCGGUCGUGGGGGAUAACGCAGCGAAAGCUGCGCUAAUACCGCAUACGAUCUGAGGAUGAAAGCGGGGGACCGUAAGGCCUCGCGCGAUCGGAGCGGCCGAUGUCAGAUUAGGUAGGUGGUGGGGUAAAGGCCUACCAAGCCGACGAGCUGUAGCUGGUCUGAGAGGACGACCAGACACAAUGGGACUGAGACACGGCCCAGACUCCUACGGGAGGCAGCAGUGGGGAAUUUUGGACAAUGGGCGCAAGCCUGAUCCAGCAAUGCCGCGUGCAGGAAGAAGGCCUUCGGGUUGUAAACUGCUUUUGUACGGAACGAAAAGGCUCUCUCUAAUACAGGGGGUUCAUGACGGUACCGUAAGAAUAAGCACCGGCUAACUACGUGCCAGCCGCCGCAGUAA
rnacentral:rRNA from 1 species